GGGAGGAGUAGAUGAGAUCCUGGGAGUUUGCUGCAGAGGAGUCAGACAAACUCUGGGAAUUUAAAGGAGUUUUUGCUCUUUUUCCAUCUGGAACGUCGACUCCUUCGUUGUCUUCGACAUCCGAGCCUUCAGGAGACACAAAGACUUCAGACCACAAUGGAAAGCUAAACAAGCAAUUAGCUAACAGCAUUAGGAGCUAAAGUGACUCACCAGGGUGGACAUGUCAGAGGAUCCGUUUUUGGAAACAUAAAUGUGAAAUUCUGACCUGGACGGGGUGGUCCAAAUUAAGAUGUGAACUUGUAAAUGGGUCUAAAUCUCCCCUGCAGUAAAGAAUUACCCAACUAAAUUUUGGGUUAAACUUUGAAUCUUCUGCUUCUACCUGAACAUCUCCUCCACGGCCGUUUGUACAGCAAGCAUCAGAAAAGUUACCGACAGCAGUGGAGAAACUCUCUGAUCUCCAACUAAAUUACCUGGAGCUUCUUUGGCAGCUGAUAGGUCCGUUGGCUUUGUGGGCAGGGCUUUAGGGUCGAUGGACGCAUCAGGCAGCCAAUCGUGUCGCAGAGUCCAGCAGCGCAGACA